rnacentral:lncRNA from 1 species
GGGCGUCAGAGCAGGAGGAAACGGAGAGAAAGGCUGAGCGCUCGCGGACGGAAGAGGGAUUUCUGGGCUGAGUGAAACAGCAACCUCGGUUAUUUGGAACACUGUCCGAACCAGAAAAGGAGCAAAAAUAAACAGCACCCAAAACCAGAUGAAGAAACCAACAACCACCCUCAAAGCAAAACAAAAAAGACUGUUCAUGGCCAAAAUAAAUGACACCGAACUCACCCCCCACACACAGCUGAGGUAUUUACCCACAGGUCAAAAAUGGCUGGAUAUUGUCAGUUUGAUACAGUCUGGCUCUUCCUAUGCAUGGAGCUCCUAUCACAUGCCAGGCACAAUGCACAGUCUAACAAGGCUUCCAGGAGCCAUGAGCCUGGAGUGACCUGUGGAGAGACCAGCAGCAGGGCCACAUGCUCUCUCCUAACCAUCGGACCCAACUUCUGCGGGUUCUGCGAGCCCUUCCAAGGAAGCAGGAUGCAGGUUAUCCUGAGAGGGACUAAGGGACAGUUCAUCCAUUCCAGGCAUCAUGACAAGCACUUUACACGCCUCAUUUAUCCCCACUACAGUCACAGAUGGUACAGACAAGGACUCAUUUUGAAUGUGAGGGCACCAAUGUUGGGGAGGGUAAGUGGCUUGCCCCGGGUCACUGAGCCGGGCUGUGGGAGAACCUGGAUUUGACAAGCUCAGGUGGUCUGCUCCUCGAGUCUGUGCUGGAACCACUGGCCCGCCGGCUGUCAGUCUGAGUGCUGUGAACGGACCACUGGGAAGCACGCGCAUAUGGUGAGAUGCACGAACUUAACCAUAGGAAAUAGAAGUAGGGCCAGGAGAGAGGGCCCUCCCCUUCGUGGCCAUCCCGCGUUGCACGCCCUGCGUAACAGGUACCACUUCCAGGGUUUAAUUAUCUGGAAUAGAUAUCAACCUGCCUCCUAAAAAGAUCAAAUUUAGUUUAAAAUAGCAACACAGUGAUUUCCAGUCUUUUAAGAUUUGCAAUGCUCUGUUGCUUUUGGUAGUUGCUGUUUCUUUUAUUCUUGUAAAUAUCCAUUUUGUGGGGCUGACCCCGUGGCCAAGUGGUUAAGUUUGUGCACUCUGCUUCAGCAGCCCAGGGUUUCGCUGGUUCGAAUCCUGGGCGCAGACAUGGCACCGCUCAUCAAGCCAUGCUGAGGCAGCGUCCCACAUGCUACAACUAGAAGGACCCACAAUGAAAAAUGCACAACUAUGUACCCAGGGGCUUUGGGGAGAAAAAGGAAAAAAAAAAUAUCUGUUUUGUAAAAGGACAUUUAUCUGUGAUAUGAAAUUCAAUUAACAAAAUGUUUGCUUUGAAGUCUUCAAUGAAACCCCUUAAGAUAACUGCAGAUGCC